CGCUCUGAUGAAAUCAUCUAUAGGAAGUGCCAUCAGAAGCGAAAGAAGGAAACACAGUGAAGUCCGAAU